rnacentral:lncRNA from 1 species
UAUCAAGAAAGAGUCUAAAAGGACUAGGAUUUCUCCUCUAAUUAGGUAACAUCUAAUCUAAAUAGUUUGAGCUCCUAAUCAGAUUUGAAUUUUAAUUUAUUUAGAUCUAAUCAAUUCUUAAUAUGAUUAUAAUUGGUUAAAAUUUUAUUUGGUUUAAAUCUGCCACCUAAAGAGGAGUCCCAUGUGGAUUAAACUAUCCCUCCAUGUGCCAUAAAUCAGCCCCAUGCCCUACC